rnacentral:lncRNA from 1 species
GGGAUAUUACUAGCCAGUGUUCCUGAAUUUAUACAUUUUUUAUCUCUUUCUGCCUUUCACACUUUUUGCUACAGUAAUCUACACACAAGACUUGCUCAAUGCUUUCAUGAUUUUAACCACAAAGAGGAAGAGAAAAACAAGAAGGGCAUGGUAUACAGUGACACACCGUUUGCGGUAGAAGCGAGGGGAAAUGAUCUGAACAACUGAAAGAAUUUGUGUUCAUGAAGUUGCUCAGACAAGGAGCUGAUGGAGCAGGGCAUUGAAAUCUCCUUGCAUAUUGGAGUUUUAAUUAUAAAGCAUUAGGUUAAAUUUAACUCCUCAGAAUCAUUAUGAAAAUUUGUAACUCUCUGGGACAAUUUUAGAUCCAUCAACUGGCACAUAAAUUUAGCAGUCAUACACUAUAUGUAGAAGUGUGUAAAUAUGCAAGCAGCCACCCCCACCCCAUAACAAUGCUGUGUUAUUAUUCCACAAGACAACACUUUUGAAUCUGAAAUCUUUUAAAAUUACUAAUCUGUUGCUCUUCUCAUGGAACAUCUUAACUACUUCAUUUGAACGUACUAUUUAAAUAAUACUAGGAAGUAGUUCUCAA